rnacentral:rRNA from 1 species
UAUGUGAUCGUCUCUCGCAUAUCAAUAAGCGGAGGAAAAGAAACUAACAAGGAUUCCCCUAGUAACGGCGAGUGAAGCGGGAAGAGCUCAAAUUUGAAAUCUUAAAGGGUUUCCAUUUACGAAUUGUAGUUUAAAGAAGUGUUUUCUGUUGAGGUUUUGGUAAAAGUUCUUUGGAAUAGGACAUCAUAGAGGGUGAGAAUCCCGUAUUUGACCUUUACUUUCAACUUUGUGAUACACUUUCAAAGAGUCGGAUUGUUUGGGAAUGCAGUCCAAAAUGGGUGGUAAAUUUCAUCUAAAGCUAAAUAUUGGCGAGAGACCGAUAGCGAACAAGUACCGUGAGGGAAAGAUGAAAAGAACUUUGAAAAGAGAGUUAAACAGUACGUGAAAUUGUCAAAAGGGAAGCGUUUGACACCAGUGUUGUUUUUCUGAAAAUCAAUUAAAGAACUGUUUAUGCUAAGUUGUUUAGACUUUAUCAGCUAACUGUUUAGUUUUGAGCUUUUCUUUAAUGCACUUUUCAGUUAACAAGUCAACAUCAAUUUCUUUUGCUGUAAAAAAGCUUGAGGAAGGUGGCUUGAGAUUCGUCUUAAGUGUUUAUAGCCUCUUGCCUAUGCAGUCGGAGAGAUUGAGGUCUGCAGCGUAGAUCCUUCGGGGCUAAAUGCAUUUGUGCUAAGUUAUAACAUUUUAUAGACAACUUGUUGACUAUGAUUUGUCUUGUAGCUUACUCGCUUAUGUUAUUUUACCUACGCUUAGGAUGUUGAAGUCAUCGUAUCGCGC